UGCUACAGAGUCCCCGUCGACUAACCCUAAGAUUUGCUAUUAAAUGCCGCCGGUCUUUAGGUUGAUGGCAGCGCAACGGCGACUGUCCACCAAAGCCAGCCGUCAAGACAUACAUAAAGCAUUCAAACCUUCCGCACGCAUCAAUAGGUCCCAUUUUGCCUACCAAAGACGCAUUCUUUUCGUGCAUGCCCGGUUUCCCAAAAAAUCUCCUCCUCUCCUUCGUUCGUCGGUUGGAAUUUGGAAGCAAGGGAUGGAUUUGGAGGACGCAAGGCGGGAGAUUGGAGUCUUUUGGGUUGUCCGUAAAGGUGGUGAAGGAUGAGAACUUGUCGUUGCCGCGGGCAACGAGGAGACGUGCUCGUUUCCUCCGACUCCUGCCGAGGCGGAACGGGAUUUAAGGGUUCCUCAGAUGCAUUCGGUGAGGUUGAUGCCUUUCGAGCAUUGCACAUUAGGUUCUUGGACUUUGUUUGAGAAUUUGUGGAGUAUUUUACUCAAGAUAAUUCUUUCUCUUUUCUCAAGAAAGGAACCCGAAUAUUUCUGUUACCCCACAGUCAAAAAGAGCAAAGAACAUGCUAAAAAAUGAAUCCAGAAAGAAGAAAGAUCUACAAAGCUGAGGCAGAAAAAAAGAUUUUUUUGAGAAGAAGAAAAGUGUACCUUUGAUGUGAGUGCUCGUAGAGGAGAGAUAUUGACGCGGCUCAAUCCAACUACAUGGCUGUAUGAGCAUAUCCAGCCAUGUCUUCAGAUUGAGGCACGCCAAUACCUCCCCCUUCAGAUCCCAUCCUAUAUUCUUCUUCGAGCUGUGUACCAAACAGAUCAUGACACCAAUGUUCUUCCCUGGCCAUGCCGUGAUCAGCAUCUACUAUAAUAAUGCUAAGUUGUAUUGUUCAAAGGAUAGAAGAAGCGAGGUUUGUGGAGAAGAGAGGAACAACAUAAGGUCUCCUUUUCAUCAAAUUAGUAGUGCUCUUCUUUUAUAGUAGCUUUCUUAUUACUCUCUAUUGUGAUAGGUUCCUCUCUUACAUGACUGUGGAUGGAUACGUAGAGGCAGAAGCAGGAGAAAAGAGGGAGAAAAUGAAUCUGAGAGGACCACAUCAACAUGAAUCACUUUCAAGAUAAUCCAUGUAUACGUCGGUCGCAAUCAUUAAAAUUUCCCAGUAGGCAUCUGUCAUGUGUCUCUGCUUUGUCAAAUGGCAGUGUAAGACAUGUAUACAACUAUUAGAUUCUGUAAAGAGUGGAAGUAACUAUAUCUCUUGUAUUAAAAUUUAAAUGUGAUCUGAAAUGCAUAAAAACUAUGUUUCUAUUGA